CCUGGUCAUAGUGGCUGACAACCGACCACCUUAUCUCUACAGGACCCUCGUGACGGUACUCAGGCAGCCCGGAGGACACACUCGAAGGAUUCUUGUGUAUGUACACGGCCACCAUCCGGAGGUUGUCGAGCUCCUUGAACUUCUACAGGUCCCUUACGAGGAGGACCUGGUCGAGGUCGACAGCCAGAUCGAGGGUAAGAUCGCCGAGCACUACCGCA